rnacentral:rRNA from 2 species
UUUAUGGAGAGUUUGAUCCUGGCUCAGAGUGAACGCUGGCGGCGUGCCUAAUACAUGCAAGUCGAACGAUGAAGCUUCUAGCUUGCUAGAGUGCUGAUUAGUGGCGCACGGGUGAGUAACGCAUAGGUCAUGUGCCUCUUAGUUUGGGAUAGCCAUUGGAAACGAUGAUUAAUACCAGAUACUCCCUACGGGGGAAAGAUUUAUCGCUAAGAGAUCAGCCUAUGUCCUAUCAGCUUGUUGGUAAGGUAAUGGCUUACCAAGGCUAUGACGGGUAUCCGGCCUGAGAGGGUGAACGGACACACUGGAACUGAGACACGGUCCAGACUCCUACGGGAGGCAGCAGUAGGGAAUAUUGCUCAAUGGGGGAAACCCUGAAGCAGCAACGCCGCGUGGAGGAUGAAGGUUUUAGGAUUGUAAACUCCUUUUGUUAGAGAAGAUAAUGACGGUAUCUAACGAAUAAGCACCGGCUAACUCCGUGCCAGCAGCCGCGGUAAUACGGAGGGUGCAAGCGUUACUCGGAAUCACUGGGCGUAAAGAGCGCGUAGGCGGGAUAGUCAGUCAGGUGUGAAAUCCUAUGGCUUAACCAUAGAACUGCAUUUGAAACUACUAUUCUAGAGUGUGGGAGAGGUAGGUGGAAUUCUUGGUGUAGGGGUAAAAUCCGUAGAGAUCAAGAGGAAUACUCAUUGCGAAGGCGACCUGCUGGAACAUUACUGACGCUGAUUGCGCGAAAGCGUGGGGAGCAAACAGGAUUAGAUACCCUGGUAGUCCACGCCCUAAACGAUGGAUGCUAGUUGUUGGAGGGCUUAGUCUCUCCAGUAAUGCAGCUAACGCAUUAAGCAUCCCGCCUGGGGAGUACGGUCGCAAGAUUAAAACUCAAAGGAAUAGACGGGGACCCGCACAAGCGGUGGAGCAUGUGGUUUAAUUCGAAGAUACACGAAGAACCUUACCUAGGCUUGACAUUGAGAGAAUCCGCUAGAAAUAGUGGAGUGUCUGGCUUGCCAGACCUUGAAAACAGGUGCUGCACGGCUGUCGUCAGCUCGUGUCGUGAGAUGUUGGGUUAAGUCCCGCAACGAGCGCAACCCCCUUUCUUAGUUGCUAACAGGUUAUGCUGAGAACUCUAAGGAUACUGCCUCCGUAAGGAGGAGGAAGGUGGGGACGACGUCAAGUCAUCAUGGCCCUUACGCCUAGGGCUACACACGUGCUACAAUGGGGUGUACAAAGAGAAGCAAUACUGCGAAGUGGAGCCAAUCUUCAAAACACCUCUCAGUUCGGAUUGUAGGCUGCAACUCGCCUGCAUGAAGCUGGAAUCGCUAGUAAUCGCAAAUCAGCCAUGUUGCGGUGAAUACGUUCCCGGGUCUUGUACUCACCGCCCGUCACACCAUGGGAGUUGUGUUUGCCUUAAGUCAGGAUGCUAAAUUAGCUACUGCCCACGGCACACACAGCGACUGGGGUGAAGUCGUAACAAGGUAACCGUAGGUGAACCUGCGGUUGGAUCACCUCCUUUCUAGA